rnacentral:tRNA from 1 species
GGACCGUGACGCAUCGGAGUAAGCGGCCAGCCCUUCAAGCUGGUGGAAGAGGGUGCAAGUCCCUCACGGUUCGCCA